rnacentral:misc_RNA from 1 species
GAAAUGCGAUAAGUAAUGUGAAUUGCAGAAUUCAGUGAAUCAUCGAAUCUUUGAACGCACAUUGCGCCCCCUGGUAUUCCGGGGGGCAUGCCUGUUCGAGCGUCAUUUCACCACUCAAGCCUAGCUUGGUAUUGGGCGACGCGGUCCGCCGCGCGCCUCAAAUCGACCGGCUGGGUCUUUCGUCCCCUCAGCGUUGUGGAAACUAUUCGCUAAAGGGUGCCGCGGGAGGCCACGCCGUAAAACAACCCCAUUUCUAAGUUUGACCUCGGAUCAGGUAGGGAUACCCGCUGAACUUAAGC